rnacentral:sRNA from 1 species
UUUGUUCUGCCACUGUGACCUUCAGAUAAUUAUGAAGAUAUCCCAGUUACUUUCAGUCGUUAAGUUCUUGGCUGCAGCACUAUCCCAAUACCACCACCUCCUCUGCAGUCCCCAUCUGUCGCUUCCAGCUGGCAGUUUCAGCUGAACACCUGCUGGCCUCUCCAGCCCAUUGCGGACCCACCCCCUUUCAGUGGUCCUAUCCUGGAACUUCUGGGUUGAGACUGCCCGUCUUUCUUUUUUUACUCACUGAACAGUGCAAGGUUAUCCUAAGUUGACAAAGUAUUUCUUUUAUUUUCCUUUUUUUUAACCCAUUUUCCAUUCUUGCAUCAGAUUGUGUGGUCCCGUUCCUGACCCGGCCUAAGGUCCCUGUCUUGCAGCUGGAUAGUGGCAACUACCUCUUCUCCACUAAUGCAAUCUGCCGAUAUUUCUUUUUGUUAUCUGGCUGGGAGCAAGAUGACCUCACUAACCAGUGGCUGGAAUGGGAAGCGACACAGCUGCAGGUAGGACUAAGGUAUGGGAGAUGUCAGGCAGGCCCUUGCUCUGCGUGGCCAUCCUGACUCAUGUCCCCUGCAUUUUAGCCAACUUUGUCUGCUGCCCUGUACUAUUUAGUGGUCCAAGGCAAGAAGGGGGAAGAUGUUCUUGGUUCAGUGCGGAGAGCCCUGACUCACAUUGACCACAGCUUGAGUCGUCAGAACUGUCCUUUCCUGGCUGGGGAGACAGAAUCUCUAGCCGACAUUGUUUUGUGGGGAGCCCUAUACCCAUUACUGCAAGAUCCCGCCUACCUCCCUGAGGAGCUGAG